rfam:Triticum aestivum genome assembly, contig: Triticum_aestivum_CS42_TGACv1_scaffold_030799_1BL
CAACUACUCCCUCCGUUCGGAAUUACUUGUCAUAAAAAUAGAUAAAAAUGGAUGUAUCUAUAAUUAAAAUAUAUUUAGAUACAUUCAUUUCUUGGACGAGUAAUUUCAAACGGAGGAAGUAAUUG